UGCAUAUACCAUCGAUAUGACCUGAUCGGGUCAGAUGAGCUUUUGCUUGCAACGCGACAACAUCGUAAAUACGACGUCUAGAUCCUACUGCGUUCAUCUAUCUCCGAAUCGAAAAACAACCUUGCAAUGGACAGCGCAACAGGCGAUGUAAUGAGGUGUUGUGGUGAUGGCAGCGCUUGUUGUAAAAGUAAGGGAUGCACCGAAAAAACAGGCUGCCAAUGCGGUGACGUGUGCGGUUGUUGCUGCUGCAAUAGGAAGCGCGGUGUCUGCAAUUGUGGCGACGUGACUCCGUGUUGCAAGGAGAAGGGGUGCGGAGGGCCGGGUGGUUGUUCAUGCGGCGGGGGGUGCGAGUGCUGCUGCUGUGCACAACCAGCAACAGCUGGUACUUGUGGCCACAAAUAGGUGGCGCAGCUUAGAUGAGACGAAGUGUUGGCAGAAUUAACGACUACAGACCCAAUUGAGCAAGUUCCUUAGACUUCAGCAUCCAUUCUAUGAAGGACCAAUGCGAUUUGGAUCAACUUUGUCAUACGGGUAUGGACAUCACAUCUACUUGGACUGUACUUUUCCUUCAAUCAUAAAACAGCCACUUCAUUAAAUUGGCAGGGACUAAUAAGGGCAAUUCAGCUCAUAUGGACAUCAGUGUUGUUUAUCUGUAAUUUUGUCGUCAAACAUACAAUAGUUUCUUUGUUAAAUUGACUGGGAGACAUUUGUAAUACCCCAGCAAGCCCGAUGAGGGCAAUUCAGUCAGACCAAACUGAUGACUAAAGCUCCAUCAGUGAGGUUUUAUCCGGCUCUCUGAAUAUGAGAAGGACAUGUACCACUUGCGAGUAUUGAUCAAAUCGAUGCAAUAACUGUAGCCUGGUAAUAAAAUUAUCAAAACAU